CCGUGCGACUGCGGAGGACAUUAUUGAAUUAUGAAAGGGGUUGUAGCUGGCCUUUUCGUUUGAGAGGCAUUUUGUGCACGCCCUGAUCAUCAUCCAUUUUUCACACCUGUGCACACUCUGUAGGCUUGGCUGUUUUGGGGCGAGGUCUUUAUUGACUUGGCUCUGAUUGGUCUUGCCUAUGUCUUAUCACAAACUAGUUUGUCAAAAGAAUGUACAAUGUGUGUAACACACUUAUAUACAACUUUCAGCAACGGAUCUCUUGGCUCUCGCAUCGAUGAAGAACGCAGCGAAAUGCGAUAAGUAAUGUGAAUUGCAGAAUUCAGUGAAUCAUCGAAUCUUUGAACGCACCUUGCGCUCCUUGGUAUUCCGAGGAGCAUGCCUGUUUGAGUGUCAUGGAAUCAUCAACUUUAUUUACUUUCGUGAGUAAAGCUUGGAUUUGGAGGUUUAGUGCCGGAUACUUUUCUGUAUUCGGCUCCUCUUAAAUGUAUUAGCUCGAACCUUUUGUGGAUCAGCUUCGGUGUGAUAAUUGUCUACGCCGUUCUGUGAAGCAUAUGUUUUCGGCUUCCAAUUGUCCUCAAUGAGACAACUUGACCUUUUGACCUCAAAUCAGGUAGGAUUACCCGCUGAACUUAAGCAUAUCAAA
rnacentral:rRNA from 1 species